rnacentral:lncRNA from 1 species
UUGAUGUGUUCGGGUAGGGUGGGAUGAUUUAUAUGGUCUUUUUUAUUGCUGGAGAACAUGUUUCUCUGUUUUUUUUGUUCAAAGUGCUACUAGUUAAAGAUUAACAAACAAAAAAAAAAGGAAGAAAAGGAAAAAAAAGAAAAGUUGAAUUUCGUUGGAUGGCUUUAUUUACUUCAUUCUCAAUAUAAUUAAUGAUUUUAUUUUUUCUGUAAUGUU